UCAAAUAAUACUGAGAAAUGUCUAGCAUAAAAAUGUGAAAAAUUUUUCAUCUAGAAUUGUCUCUUAUUAAUGAUGCAAAAAAUCGAAAAAUGUUGCUAAUGUUAUUAUUCUUCGUUUGGUUUGUUAAAAAAUAUAACAAAUUUAAAUAUAUAAUGUUUUCUCUAUAUAAAAGAAUUAAUGCUAAUAAAUGUUUUAUACAACCUCAACUCAUAUGGGACUACCCCUGAAUUUAAGCAUAUUAAUUAGGGGAGGAAAAGAAAACUAACAAGGAUUUUCUUAGUAGCGGCGAGCGAAAAGAAAUCAGUUCAGCACUAAGUCACUUUGUCUAUAUGGCAAAUGUGAGAUGCAGUGUAUGGAGCGUCAAUAUUCUAGUAUGAGAAAUUAACGAUUUAAGUCCUUCUUAAAUGAGGCCAUUUACCCAUAGAGGGUGCCAGGCCCGUAUAACGUUAAUGAUUACUAGAUGAUGUUUCCAAAGAGUCGUGUUGCUUGAUAGUGCAGCACUAAGUGGGUGGUAAACUCCAUCUAAAACUAAAUAUAACCAUGAGACCGAUAGUAAACAAGUACCGUGAGGGAAAGUUGAAAAAACUCUGAAUAGAGAGUUAAACAGUACGUGAAACUGCUUAGAGGUUAAGCCCGAUGAACCUGAAUAUCCGUUAUGGAAAAUUCAUCAUUAGACUUGUAGUAUUUAAACAAUAUUAUGAUAAUAGUGUGCAUUUUUUCCAUAUAAGGACAUUGUAAUCUAUUAACAUAACUAAAUUUAUCAUAAAAUAUGGCUUAUAGUUUAUUCAAAUUAUUAUGCUUGCAUUUUAACAUAGAAUAAAUGUCAUUAAUUUGAUAAAGUGCUGAUAGAUUUAUAUGACUACAGUGCGUUAAUUUUUCGGAAUUAUAUAAUGGCAUAAUUAUCAUUGAUUUUUGUGUUUAUUAUAUGCACUUGUACGAUUAACAAUGCGAAAGAUUCAGGAUACCUUCGGGACCCGUCUUGAAACACGGACCAAGGAGUAACAUAUGUGCAAGUUAUUGGGAUAUAAACCUAAUAGCGUAAUUAACUUGACUAAUAAUGGGAUUAGUUUUUUAACUAUUUAUAGCUAAUUAACACAAUCCCGGGGCGUUCUAUAUAGUUAUGUAUAAUAAUAUUUAUAUUAUUUAUGCCUCUAACUGGAACGUACCUUGAGCAGAUAUGCUGUGACCCGAAAGAUGGUGAACUAUACUUGAUCAGGUUGAAGUCAGGGGAAACCCUGAUGGAAGACCGAAACAGUUCUGACGUGCAAAUCGAUUGUCAGAAUUGAGUAUAGGGGCGAAAGACCAAUCGAACCAUCUAGUAGCUGGUUCCUUCCGAAGUUUCCCUCAGGAUAGCUGGUGCAUUUUAAUGUUAUAUAAAAUAAUCUUAUCUGGUAAAGCGAAUGAUUAGAGGCCUUAGGGUCGAAACGAUCUUAACCUAUUCUCAAACUUUAAAUGGGUAAGAACCUUAACUUUCUUGAUAUGAAGUUUAAGGUUAUGAUAUAAUGUGCCCAGUGGGCCACUUUUGGUAAGCAGAACUGGCGCUGUGGGAUGAACCAAACGUAAUGUUACGGUGCCCAAAUUAACAACUCAUGCAGAUACCAUGAAAGGCGUUGGUUGCUUAAAACAGCAGGACGGUGAUCAUGGAAGUCGAAAUCCGCUAAGGGUGUGUAACAACUCACCUGCCGAAGCAACUAGCCCUUAAAAUGGAUGGCGCUUAAGUUGUAUACCUAUACAUUACCGCUAAAGUAGAUGAUUUAUAUUACUUGUAAUAUAAAUUUUGAAACUUUAGUGAGUAGGAAGGUACAAUGGUAUGCGUAGAAGUGUUUGGCGUAAGCCUGCAUGGAGCUGCCAUUGGUACAGAUCUUGGUGGUAGUAGCAAAUAAUCGAAUGAGACCUUGGAGGACUGAAGUGGAGAAGGGUUUCGUGUGAACAGUGGUUGAUCACGAGUUAGUCGGUCCUAAGUUCAAGGCGAAAGCCGAAAAUUUUCAAGUAAUAAAAUGACUAUAUAUUACAAAAAUGCCAAUUAAUAUACUUGAAUAAUUUUGAACGAAAGGGAAUACGGUUCCAAUUCCGUAACCUGUUGAGUAUCCGUUUGUUAUUAAAUAUGGGCCUCGUGCUCAUCCUGGCAACAGGAACGACCAUAAAGAAGCCGUCGAGAGAUAUCGGAAGAGUUUUCUUUUCUGUUUUAUAGCCGUAUACCAUGGAAGUCUUUCGCAGAGAGAUAUGGUAGAUGGGCUAGAAGGAUGACAUUACUGUUGUGUCGAUAUUUUCUCCUCGGACCUUGAAAAUUUAUGGUGGGGAUACGCAACUUUCUCACAGGCCGUACCAAUAUCCGCAGUGGUCUCCAAGGUGAAGAGUCUCUAGUCGAUUGAAUAAUGUAGGUAGGGAAGUCGGGCAAAUUAGAUCCGUAAUUCGGGUAUAAGGAUUGGCUCUGAAGAUUGAGAUAGUCGGGUUGAUUGGGAACAAUAACAUGGUUUAUGUGCUCGUUCUGGGUAAUAGAGUUCUAUCAUUUAUGUUAGUUGCUUGUUCCGGUAGUUUAGUUACGUAGCCAAUUGUGGACUUUCUUGCUAAAUUUUUAAGAUACUAGUUGGGGUCAAACCAAUUAGUUCUUAUUAAUUAUAACGAUUAUCAUUAACAAUCAAUUCAGAACUGGCACGGACUUGGGGAAUCCGACUGUCUAAUUAAAACAAGCAUUGUGAUGGGCCUGCGGGUGUUGACACAAUGUGAUUUCUGCCCAGUGCUCUGAAUGUCAAGUGAGAAAUUCAAGUAAGCGGGAGGUCAACGGCGGGGAGUAACUAUGACUCUCUUAAGGUAGCAAAUGCCUCGUCAUCUAUUAGUGACGCGCAUGAUGGAUUAACGAGAUUCCUACUGUCCUAUCUACUAUCUAGCGAAACCACAGCAAGGGAACGGGCUUGGAAUAAUUAGCGGGGAAAGAAGACCCUUUUGAGCUUGACUCUAAUCUGGCAGUGUAGGAGACUAAGAGGUGUAGAAUAGUGGGAGAUAUUAGACUUCGGUUUGGUAUCGACAAUGAAUACCACUACUCUUAUUGUUUCCUUACUUACUUGAUUAAUGGAACGUGUAUCAUUUCCUGCCAUUACGGAUUAUUUAUUAUAUCUUAUGGUAUUGGGUUUUGAUGCAGCUUCUUGAUCAAGUAUCACGGUUUGUUAUUAUCGCAAACAAUUCUUUAAUGAGACGAUGCAUUUAUGUAUUUUUGAUUUGAAAUUUGGUAUAACUCCAAUUACUCAGGUAUGAUCCAUUCAGGACAUUGCCAGGUAGGGAGUUUGACUGGGGCGGUACAUCUCUCAAUAUACGGAGGUGUCCAGGCCAGCUCAGUGCGGACAGAACCACACAUAGAGCAAAGGGCAAAUGCUGACUUGAUCUCGGUGUUCAGUACACACAGGGACAGCAAAAGCUCGGCCUAUCGAUCCUUUUGGUUUAAAGAGUUUUUACAAGAGGUGUCAGAAAGUUACCAUAGGAUAACUGGCUUGUGGCGGCCAGCGUUCAUAGCGACGUCGCUUUUUGAUCCUUCGAUGUCGGCUCUUCUUCAUUGUGAGCAAAUUCACCAAGCGUUGGAUUGUUCACCAUGCAAGGGAACGUGAGCUGGGUUUAGACCGUCGUGAGACAGGUUAGUUUUACCCUACUAUGACAACGUUGUUGCGACAGCUUCUGCGUAGUACGAGAGGAACCGCAGGUACGGACCAAUGGCACAAUACUUGUUCGAGCGAACAGUGGUAUGACGCUACGUCCGUUGGAUUAUGCCUGAACGCCUCUAGGUCGUAUCCGUGCUGGACUGCAAUGAUAAAUAAGGGGCAAUUUGUUGUAUGGCUUCUAACCAUUUAAAGUUUGUAAUUCAUUUUAUAACGACAAUGGAUGUGAUGCCAAUGUAAUUGUAACAUAGUAAAUUGGGAGGAUCUUUGAUCACCUGGUGCCGCGCUAGUUACUAUAAAAGCAUUAUUUAUACAAUGACAAGCCU
rnacentral:rRNA from 1 species